rnacentral:rRNA from 1 species
UCGAAACCUGCCCAGCAGAACGACCCGUGAACGUGUUUUCUAAAGACGGGUGUGCGGCACAGUUUGGCCCCUCGAGUGUCGCUGUGCUGUUCGNCCGAGCAGGGGAGUGCUCACUAGUUGCGCGCUUCGCUGCUAAACAAACGAACCCCGGCGCGAAAAGCGUCAAGGAACAUGAACUCUACGUGAGCGCCUUGUUUCCGCCCGGUUAGCCGGGUGGGGGCGAGGACUCGUGGCUUAAUAACAAUAAACGACUCUCGGCAACGGAUAUCUCGGCUCUCGCAUCGAUGAAGAACGUAGCGAAAUGCGAUACUUGGUGUGAAUUGCAGAAUCCCGUGAACCAUCGAGUCUUUGAACGCANGUUGCGCCCGAAGCCUCUGGCUAAGGGCACGUCUGCCUGGGCGUCACGCAUCGCGUCCCCCCCACACCGCCUAGUGCGGAGGGGAGGAAAGAUGGCUUCCCGUGCCUCACCGGGCGCGGUUGGCCUAAACUUGGAGCCCGCGNAAAUUAGAUCACGCGGCGAUAGGUGGUGAACAAGGCUUUGGCCAUGCAAACAACCCGCCGUGUAGUACUAACCCACGAACGCUCGUCGGACCCUUUGUCGUUGCCUUGGGCAACUCANACCUUUGCGACCCCAGGUCAGGCGGGG